rnacentral:lncRNA from 1 species
AGCAGACUGUGGCUGAGAGCAAGAAAGGCUGUCUUAGUCAUCUGAGGCUGUAUUGCCUUAGCUGACACUUGGAAAGCCUGAGCAGCCUGGAGCCCACUUUGAGGUUAAAGGAAGAUCACAGUCCUUUCAUCUUUCCCACACCCUCAGAAAGCUCAGGAAGAAGACUGAUUGUUAGGACCAAAGAGAUGACAGUUUUCCCCGCUCUUUCCAGCGGCAGCUAAGGAAAAGAGUGCAUUACACAUACACUGAAAUUCUGGGUAAGAUUUUUUUGUUUAAAAGGCUCAUUUACUAAAACUAUUUU